rnacentral:rRNA from 1 species
AUUGAACGCUGGCGGCAGGCCUAACACAUGCUAGUCGAGCGGAUGAAGGGAGCUUGCUCCUGGAUUCAGCGGCGGACGGGUGAGUAAUGCCUAGGAAUCUGCCUGGUAGUGGGGGAUAACGUCCGUAAACGGGCGCUAAUACCGCAUACGUCAUGAGGGAGAAAGUGGGGGAUCUUCGGACCUCACGCUAUCAGAUGAGCCUAGGUCGGAUUAGCUAGUUGGUGGGGUAAAGGCCUACCAAGGCGACGAUCCGUAACUGGUCUGAGAGGAUGAUCAGUCACACUGGAACUGAGACACGGUCCAGACUCCUACGGGAGGCAGCAGUGGGGAAUCUUGGACAAAGGGCGAAAGCCUGAUCCAGCCAUGCCGCGUGUGUGAAGAAGGUCUUCGGAUUGUAAAGCACUUUAAGUUGGGAGGAAGGGCAGUAAGUGAAUACCUUGCUGUUUUGACGUUACCAACAGAAUAAGCACCGGCUAACUUCGUG